UACGAAGGGGCUAGCGUUGUUCGGAAUUACUGGGCGUAAAGCGCACGUAGGCGGAUAUUUAAGUCAGGGGUGAAAUCCCGGGGCUCAACCCCGGAACUGCCUUUGAUACUGGGUAUCUCGAGUCCGAGAGAGGUGAGUGGAAUUCCGAGUGUAGAGGUGAAAUUCGUAGAUAUUCGGAGGAACACCAGUGGCGAAGGCGGCUCACUGGCCCGGUACUGACGCUGAGGUGCGAAAGCGUGGGGAGCAAACAGG
rnacentral:rRNA from 1 species